rnacentral:rRNA from 1 species
GGGCGAAGCCUGACGAGCACGCCGCGUGAGGGAAGAAGGCCUUCGGGUUGUAAACCUCUGUUUUCAGGGAAGAAGAAAGUGACGGUACCUGAAAAGUAACCCCCGGCUAACUACUUGCCACCAGCCGCGGUAAAACGUAGGGGGCAAGCGUUGUCCGGAAUUACUGGGCGUAAAGGGCGCGUAGGUGGUUCAUUAAGUUAUAGGUGAAAGUUCGGGGCUCAACCCCGUGAUUGCCUGUGAUACUGGUGGACUUGACUGCAGGAGAGGGUAGCAGAAUUCCCAAUGUAGCGGUGAAAUGCGUAGAUAUUGGGAGGAAUACCAAUGGCGAAGGCGGCUAUCUGGACUGUAACUGACACUGAGGCGCGAAAGCGUGGGGAGCAAACAGGAUUAGAUACCCUGGUAGUCCACGCCGUACACGAUGACUGCUAGGUGUUGCGGGUAUCGACCCCUGCUGUGCCGUAGUUAACACAAUAAACACUCCGCCUGGGGAGUACGGUCUCAAGACUGAAACUCAAAGAAAUUGGGACGGAAGGAAUGGACGG